rfam:Triticum aestivum genome assembly, contig: Triticum_aestivum_CS42_TGACv1_scaffold_032983_1BL
CUACUACUCCCUCCGUCCGAAAAUACUUGUCAUUGAAAUGGAUGUAUCUAGUUGUAUUUUAGUUCUAGACACAUCCAUUUUGAUGUCAAGUAAUUCUGGACGGAGGGAGUAUUAU